AGAGCGAACGCUGGCGGCAGGCCUAAUACAUGCAAGUCGAACGGAUCCUUCGGGAUUAGUGGCGGACGGGUGAGUAACACGUGGGAACGUACCCUUUGGUUCGGAACAACUCAGGGAAACUUGAGCUAAUACCGAAUGUGCCCUUCGGGGAAAAGAUUUAUCGCCAUUGGAGCGGCCCGCGUCUGAUUAGCUAGUUGGUGGGUAAAGGCCUACCAAGGCUACGAUCAGUAGCUGGUCUGAGAGGAUGAUCAGCCACACUGGGACUGAGACACGGCCCAGACUCCUACGGGAGGCAGCAGUAGGGAAUCUUGCGCAAUGGGCGAAAGCCUGACGCAGCCAUGCCGCGUGAAUGAUGAAGGUCUUAGGAUUGUAAAAUUCUUUCAGCGGGGACGAUAAUGACGGUACCCGCAGAAGAACGCCCGGCUAACUUCGCGCCAGCAGCCGC
rnacentral:rRNA from 1 species